UACGAAGGGGGCUAGCGUUGUUCGGAAUUACUGGGCGUAAAGCGCGCGCAGGCGGUCUUCCAAGUCAGUGGUGAAAGCCCGGAGCUCAACUCCGGAACUGCCAUUGAAACUGUUAGACUUGAGGACGAGAGAGGUGAGUGGAAUUCCCAGUGUAGAGGUGAAAUUCGUAGAUAUUGGGAAGAACACCGGUGGCGAAGGCGGCUCACUGGCCCGUUACUGACGCUCAGGCGCGACAGCGUGGGGAUCAAACAGG
rnacentral:rRNA from 1 species